UGACACAGCCAUAUCACACAGCAGCCCGAAACCGGUUACUCACUGAAGGUAAGCAGGGUUGAGCCUGUUCAGUACCUGGAUGGGAGACCACAUGGGAAAACUAGGUUGCUGCUGGAA
ensembl:rRNA 5S_rRNA 5S ribosomal RNA